UAGGGAAUCUUCGGCAAUGGACGAAAGUCUGACCGAGCAACGCCGCGUGAGUGAAGAAGGUUUUCGGAUCGUAAAACUCUGUUGUUAGAGAAGAACAAUGACGUUAGUAACUGAACGUCCCCUGACGGUAUCUAACCAGAAAGCCACGGCUAACUACGUGCCAGCAGCCGCGGUAAUACGUAGGUGGCAAGCGUUGUCCGGAUUUAUUGGGCGUAAAGCGAGCGCAGGCGGUUUCUUAAGUCUGAUGUGAAAGCCCCCGGCUCAACCGGGGAGGGUCAUUGGAAACUGGGAGACUUGAGUGCAGAAGAGGUGAGUGGAAGUCCAUGUGUAGCGGUGAAAUGCGUAGAAAUAUGGAGGAACACCAGUGGCGAAGGCGGCUCUCUGGUCUGUAACUGACGCUGAGGCUCGAAAGCGUGGGGAGCAAACAGG
rnacentral:rRNA from 1 species